rnacentral:rRNA from 1 species
UACAGAGAGUGCAAACGUUGUUCGGAAUUACUGGGCUUAAAGCGCACGUAGGCGGUGUCGUAAGUGUCAGGUGAAAUCCCACGGCUCACCCGUGGAACUGCCUGGCAUACUGCGAUACUCGAGUGUGGUAGGGGAGAGCGGAACUCCUGGUGGAGCGGUGAAAUGCGUAGAUAUCAGGAGGAACACCGGUGGCGAAGGCGGCGACCUGGGUCGACACUGACGCUGAGGCGCGAAAGCGUGGGGAGCAAACAGG